AUUGAACGCUGGCGGCAUGCCUUACACAUGCAAGUCGAACGGCAGCAUGAUCUAGCUUGCUCGAUUGAUGGCGAGUGGCGAACGGGUGAGUAAUACAUCGGAACGUGCCCUGUAGUGGGGGAUAACUAGUCGAAAGAUUAGCUAAUAUCGCAUACGACCUGAGGGUGAAAGUGGGGGACCGCAAGGCCUCAUGCUAUAGGAGCGGCCGAUGUCUGAUUAGCUAGUUGGUGAGGUAAAGGCUCACCAAGGCGACGAUCAGUAGCUGGUCUGAGAGGACGAUCAGCCACACUGGGACUGAGACACGGCCCAGACUCCUACGGGAGGCAGCAGUGGGGAAUUUUGGACAAUGGGCGAAAGCCUGAUCCAGCAAUGCCGCGUGUGUGAAGAAGGCCUUCGGGUUGUAAAGCACUUUUGUCCGGAAAGAAGUGGCUCUGGUUAAUACCUGGGGUCGAUGACGGUACCGGAAGAAUAAGGACCGGCUAACUACGUG
rnacentral:rRNA from 1 species